rnacentral:misc_RNA from 1 species
CAGAGUCCAUAUUAGCAGUCACUGGAGCCCGCAUGCAUCCACGCGGACGGCAUGUGAGGCAGACUUUGACGGCCCCAUCCCCACCCGUAUCUACACUCAGCGUCCUUAGCUCCGUGAACUCGCGUGGUCAUCGUCGCGAUACACUUUAUUUUUCGUUUGGAGCGGCUGUAGACAUCUGCCGCUGCCACUGCUCUUGCGUGUGUCGCUCUUUCUCUCUUUCUCUGCUCCACUCCCUCCUCACCACCUUCUUCACCCUCUCUUGCAAAGACAGACAGUCCAGUUCGGGUGGCGUGGCUUCGCCGUGACUCAGCUUGCUCGCUCCCCCGACGGGUCAGCGUACAGAGACACGCACGGGGCAGCCAGCGCCCGCCUUUGCAUCUCCCUUUAGUUUUUUUUUUUGGUUGCUUGCUCCUGCUUUCCUUUCCCAUCGGUGAUCGCGAUUUUCAAGAGUCGCAAGUGGACUGUGUGUACCCCCUCACCCUCUCUCUCCCAUCCGUGUCCGCAUCACCACCGGCGUUCCCGUACGGCUACUGCCUGCUUGCGCCAGAUCGCUCUGCAGUGGUGCGCGAGUGCGAAAUCCGUGGUCCGUGCGCUGUGAGGUGGUGUUGGGAGGCGAGGGUGCGCCUGUCUUCUGCUGCCACUGCUGCAGCGAAUGCAGUCCGACCAUUUCCGUGCUUGCAUUCGUCAUCGAAAACGGCACCCGCUCUCCAAGAUGCCAACUGUGUCCAUUGUAGGCGUCGAUGCCGCCUGGGAGCCCUCGUGCUGCCCAUCCGUGAUCGCCGAUGCUGCAGGCGCCGCCACGCGAGACAGCACCGGCCUUCUCGCAGUGCCGGAGGUGGAUACGGAAACGGGCAUCGUUAUCCUAGACCUCGGGCGCCGCAGUGGUGACGCGAACGCAUCUCGCGGUCCUCAUGUCUAUGGCGCCGCUCAUAAUGCCCCCAACAAGCCGCCGUGUUGGGCUCGAAACGAUGGCGUGUGGGCACGGCUGCAGGCCGCCGGGUUCCCAUGCCUCGUCGCUGUCCUGGCACAGCCGCUCGUGAGACCCGCCGCUGCACCACCACCACCACCACCACCACUGCCGCCGGCGCAGAGGACAGUGGAAAAAGGAAGCGCCGACAGGGGGUACGCGGACAGCGCUGGCCUCGGUGCAGAUGCAGGGGCGGGUCUGGCGACCGCCUCUCUCCUUAGGCCCGCGUCAUCCGCGGGUGCAUCCAACCAGACGGCGAAGCCGCUGCUCGUGUAUUUGCCCACUAUCGUGCCCUCUGCCGCCACCCCCAACGAUGCCGCUGCAUCUGCCGGCUACGGCGAUGCGGCAGGCGGGGUCGGUGAUACUGACUCGGAAGCACCGUCGGUCGCUGCGUUGCCUUCCUUCUCGCACAGCGUGUCGUCGCGCAGCGUGAUGGGUAAGCUGGGUAAGCUGCCAAGCCCUGACCUAUCCCCGGCAACAGCAGCCACGACCACUGCUGCAGAUCUGUCCUUUUCCGUUCCGUCUUCUAUUCCGCUCUGUCGCUCGUCGCCGCCGCGCGCACUCCUGCCUCUGUGCUUCAGCUCGGCCCCCGUGGCGCCGCUUCGCCACCUCCUUGCCUCAGCUGCCGUGUGCGUAGACGGCCACAGAAUACCGUCGGCUUUCUCUGCUGCAGCCGCGCAAGCCGAGGAGGAUGCGCAGGCUCCACUCAGAGGCGCUGGCGCUACGUGUGAAGCAGUGAAAAGAGAGCACGCGCGAGAAGUCGAUACGUUGCAGCAGCCGCCACCUCCCUCGUCGAGCGCCUACACAGAUGCGAGCACCGGUGCGGUUGGUGUUGCUCGAGUCGUCUGUCGAGCAGUCUGGCCAAUCCCUCCGUGGUCGGCGAAUCCACUGCCGUUGUUCGCUCCGGAGGCGGUCCCGUUGCUAUCCUACUCGAUGAGCACUGAUGGCAGUCAUCGCGGAGUUUCGGUAGACAAAUCCGCAACGCCUCGAGUGGCGGGAACAGCAGCAGCGGAUGACGACAAUGUGGAAGCGGCUGUGUCUGACCUGCUGGAGCACCUCGGUGAGUGGAACAGCUCCCUCGUGGCCGGCAUGUUCUUGAGUGCGAAGGUGCUGGCGGCAAGCACGCCCACGACGCAAUCAGCUACACCGUCCUUGUCGCAGCAACAACCGGAAACGACAGCGACGAGGACGAGAGAUGGCGAGGCGGAGGCUGAAGCGGCGGCUCUGGAGAAAGAAGGUGGCAGUGUCACAGUGGCCUCGGCAUGCCCUACCUCAAUGCAAGAGCUGCUAGCGCUUCUCUUUCAGUACUGGCAUCAGCGGUUGGCGGACCCGCCGGCGUGCACGUGUGCAGUAGGGCCUCCCGGAAGGCAUCAGCAGCACCACGAGGUAUCUGCGUCUCUGAAAGCCGUUGCGGGCGCCACCGCUACCACGUUUGCCGCCCAGGAGAGCGUUGGGGUGGUGCCGCAGUCCCCAUCACCUCCGACGCAGACGCCGACACUCAUCAGCCGCGCCUUUUUUCAGGAUCCUCAAGGCCGCGAGCACGCGGCAGAAGCACCCUGGCACAAGUCCAUCAAGCAGACGCCGGCGCAGGCAACGCCGCUGUCCUCGCCCUCUCCGCUGCCCCCUGCCGCCCCGCACCACUACACGUCCGCGUUCCUUGUGGAGCAGCUGCUGAUGUCGAUCGAGUUUUCCAUCGCGUACUUGGUGAGCCGCAAGCGGGACGCGGCGGCGGUGUCUGGCAGUCAGGCAGAUACAGAUGCUCUCCGUGACGCAUUCAAUGAGGACGAUGCUCGAGCGCCGCCCUUGACACCGUUGCGGGUUCAGCAGCGGCUCCGGUGCUACCGACUCCCGCCGGUCUCCUCGCACACACCAUUUGAGGUGGUGUGGGGGCUGUACCUCGCGCAGCGGAUGCGCAUGUUCAGCGGCUCCGAGACCUUAGCAUCCGCAGCCAAGGUCCGCGCUGGCGCACAAGCGCCGGCUGCUGCGCGCUUACGGUUGUCGGCGCCCUCGAAACCGUCGCUGGAGCACGCCGAGGCAGCGCUUGCCGAUGGAGAGGAAGAGGAGCAGCGGCACGACGCAUGUGGCCUGAGCUGCACAGCGAUGGACGUGUGGACACUGUGGCAGCGGGCAGCAGGAAUGACGUGGAAACGGUCACCAGCAGCACCAACAGCGUUGGCGCCCAUAGUCAAGGAAGCGGCGGUGGAUGCCACACCCCUAUCGCCACCGCUACAGCUUACUGCGCCACUGCAGUCCGCGAAUGCACUGAUGGAAGUAAGCAACCCUACAGCAUCGCAGCCGUCACUCGCCUCACCGUGUCGCACGCGUAUCUUCUCCGCAAGCAGCAUGGAGCGGCGGCGUCCGUCAUCAGACCGCCUGCUCGUUCUGCCGCCUGUUCGCUCCUCAACACCACAGCCUCUACCCAGUCGCUUGCCCACCCACAUCAACUUCACGGUGCAGACAGUCUCGAAGCCGUGCAAGAGCUCUCACAGUGCCCCUGACGUGGCCGCCGUAGCAGCCGCAGCAAUCCAUGACAGGUCACUGCCGUCCCCACACGCAGUGUUAGCUGCACAAGCGGUUCAACUACAGCAAGGACGUGAGCCGGUGCAGAUGUCCUCGGCAACGUCGGUGGCGGCAGCGACCGCAGGACUUCUUCAGGUACUUCCGAGCUUCCUCUCCUCUCGCGUCCCAGUGCCGGAUGCGCCUUCUCCACCGUCGCUGCAGCCCUCGACUUCGGUACGCAAUUCGCCCUCCCCACAAUGGCUGCACAAGCGGGCCAGAGCGUCCACAGCAGUGACUGCCGACGUGCGUGCCGCAACGCAGCCGGCGCAGAGAAGUGGCAAACCCGACGCUUGGCUGCAAGAGCGGCGCGAGACGCAUGGCGUCAGCGAGGCGAACGCAGCCGUGAGACACGUACCAGCCUCUCAGCAGCCGGCAACAGGCACGAUGCAAGGAGGCCGCAUCGAUUCAUGGGAGAGCAUUGGCGAUAGCAGCCUCGACAGCGCGGACGGGAUGAGAGACAAGAGGAACGACGGCGUGGCGCGUGUCGCAGGGCAGUUGACCGCCAGCACCACUGUGAGCCGCAGUAUACAUGACGCCUCCACUUCUUUGGUCGCCGCUGGAUCGCAGGCGCACGUGCAGCAGCGACGCUCUACCCUGCCAGCCACCUGCACCGUCGAGCCACCCAAAAGCGUUCUUCCCGCUGCACCGGCUGCGGAGAGCGGCAGGCGAAAAACGCAUCGUACCGGUGAGGUCGGUGGCGACAGCGACGAUGGCGGCAGGCACACCGCACGCGCCACUGCGGCAACGCCGUUGGAGGGAUGGAAGGAGACGCUACCGCCCGACGAGGCACACUGGAUGGAAAACCGCGGUGGUCUCGAUGCAGCAACGACGGCGCCGCAGACGUCUCGCUGCCGGCGGCCGCGCGGAGGGCUGUACUCUGCUGCCUCUUUCGUAGCAGUCCUCUCCGCGGCGGUGUCGCAGGUGCUGUCCGAGCAGCAGGAUCCAUCGCAGCAACAUCAGCAGCAGCAGUUCCACGGCUUCCCCGCAGCGCCUCCCUCCUUCGCGCCCUCGGGCUCCGUAUCUUUCUCCUCCACGGCAGCGGCGGUGGCGGCGCAGCGGCUGGAGCAGAUCCGCCGUGGCCGGCUUUUGCCCUCCCUCGCUACGCUCGACAGUCUCAACUUGCUACCGCAGUACGUGCCUGUCUGGUGCUACACGUACGACCCCAUCACCGGCCAGCGGGCAACGAGGCGGCGCGGCGACGAUGGUGGUGGCAGUAGCGGUCAUGUGCACAAUCGCAGCUACCUACAGCGCUACACCCCAUCUUCCAGCGGGGCGGUGACCCGUUCGCGUGGCGGCGGCGGCGGCGGCGCAGGCGGUGGCAUCCACGAGCUGGGUCGCGCUGGCAAGGCGGGCUUGACCGCCACCUACAGAUAUGUUUCUGAGACGGCGCGAACAGUGCUCGAUGCGGUUAAGUCGUCUGUACCGAACAAGGUGCAAGGCGCGAGGGGCAUCAAUGGCAAUAGCACCCAACCUGUGAGCAGCGGCACCGGCGACGGAGGGAGAGCUGGUUUUCCCGCCACACCGGCGACAGCGGGUGCACCGAUGGAGAGCCCCGUCAUGUCUCCCGUUGCCGUCUCCGCGCCACGCACGUCCUUGGAUGCGCCUCUGCCUGUGAUGGCUAGCGUUCAUGCUCCCGCGCACGGCAGCUGCAACGCAACUCGUGAUGCGACGAAGGAUCCAAGUCUGUACUACGCCAUGUGCGGGCUGUACAUCACGGAGCAGGACAUUAUCAUACGCGCCAUUCCGACGGUCGAGGUCGAGCGCCAGCGUGAGAAGGCGAGGCAGAAGCGGCGGCAACAGAAAGGCGUGCCCUCAGCGCCGACACGAGGAUUCGGCUGGGCGAAAGCCAGCGGCGGAGGUAGAGGCUGCCUCGGCCGCGGCGGCGCACCUUCAGUUGGCAGCGAAGCCGAGCGCUCGAAGUGCGCUGACGGGAACAACAGCAGCGACGAGGGCAACAACGUCGACGACAGCGACGAGGAGGAAGUGGUGGAGCUGCUGAUUUUGCCACGCGUCAGCCUUGUGUCUGUCACGCCGUGUGCGGUGGAUCGCAGCGCCGGCGGCGUCUUCGCCGUCAAGCACGCUCGCAAGCUGUACGACCAUCUGGAGCGAGACCGCAACUUCGCUCCUUCGUCCUCAGCGGCCACAACCUCAGGUUCGACCUUGGCCGUGCCCGCCUCUGGCGGCAGUGGUAGCGGCGGCGGUGGCGAAGGUGGCAGGGAUGCAGCGGAAAGCAGCGUACCGUCCGCCUCAGCGGGGUGUCGAUUGUCGGUGACCGGCACAGCGACCUCAAGCACGGGCACCAAUGCGCGACACCACCUCCCGCGCACAUCAGCGCACUCAGGCCAGCCAGGGCAGACAUCCUUCAUGACGUCGUCGACCGUGGUGGUGCUAAAGCUGCAAUCUGGGCAGAUGCAGACGGUAUGGCUGGAGUUUGCAGACGAGACGGCGUUGAAUGAGGUCCAUCAGCUGCUGUGCGCUCCACUGCGACCUUCGACUCGGCCACGUGGGAUGGCAGCCUGUCAAGCAGGGCCGUGCUAUGGCAACCGAUUUUUGUCCAGCGCCCGCCGCCUGUGGUGCAUGGUGCCUCUGGUCCUGCUUGCCACGAACGUGCUGCCGCAGGGAGCCGCCACCUCGCCGUUCAUGCAGGCACUCUUGAAGAACGUCACCGUGGCGGCGGUGAUGCUGAACGCGCAGGCAACGGCGCCGUGCAUGGCAGCGGCAACAACCAGGUCGCCAUCACUUCUGUCGAUGGAGGCCUCCACGCUCUCUCUGCCCUCGCCCCUGCCCCCGCGCGGGCCCCCCAUAAUGCUGGCAGACACGUGGUGGCUCUACGACCCCGCUCGAGAAUUCGUGCGCCAAGGCCUGUCAGAGGAACACUGGUCCAUGACGUCGGCGAACGCGGAGUACGCCUUCUGCCCGACCUACCCAUCCACCUUCGUCGUCCCCGCCGCCGUCGCACGCGCGAUGGAAAAUGACGAGGUGGACGGACGACACCGCAUGUCGCGCCGCGUCGAAGCUGUCGCCUUCUACUACGCGCCAACCGGUGGCGUGCUCGUCCGCAGUGCACAACCGACGCUGGCGACGCUGGUGGCCGAUGUGCCGACCGGGCAGGCGUUGGAGUGGACAUCGCGCAUGACGGGUGGCCGGCUUGGUAGAGCAGCGCCGGCCGCGUCGUCGUCGCAGACACAGACGUCGCCGUUGGUGGUGCCGCUGCGGGACGCCCUUCGCCUUACACUGAAUGCCUUCGCCGCGGCGGCUGGAGUGACGGCUCAGCAAAUCUUCGUAAUGGACCUCCGCUCUGCCAGGGCGGCGUUCGCGAAUGUGGGCAAGGGAGGCGGCACCAUGGAGCUUCUCCUGUACCCCUUCGGCGGUGUGGAGUACGCUGGACUGCCAAACAUUCACAGUGUGCAGAAGGCGUGGCGUAAGCUAAGAGCGUCCCUGACACACGACGCGCCGUACCAGCUCCGGGGAGAUGAGAGCGGCUGCCUCGAGACGCAGUACGUGCAGCACGCAGGAGAGCCGCCGUACGCGGCGGUGGUUGCCGCUGCUGAGCUGUCUGCGACGGCGAAGCGGCCCGCGUCAGGUCUCAGCGUGGCGUCGCCACUGUUGGCGUCGCUGCUGCCGCGCCUGCAAGGGUGCAGUCCGAGUGCUCCGCAGUCAGCGAGGGACUUUAGUAGUGGCGCAGACGCAGAAGCGGUUAUCAAGCUCAGUGCUGGUGAGUCCGGCGACAGCGAUGGUAACGGCGAGAGUGGUGGGCCAAGAGACGGUGCGGCAGCGGAAGACUAUGCUGCGGACACAACGGCCAUGACAUCGGCGCCGUCUCGGCCUCCGUUCUCGCUCGGGGGUGUGCGAUGGAGUGCCAUCUUCUCCGCCAUGGCCCCCGUCGGCGGCGCGUCCGUCACUGCCAUGAUGCCGGCAGCACAGCACGAGUGGCUCGCCUACAUUGCCAUGCUGCUCAACACCGCCGUCGUUGUAGCGCGACGUGUAUGCGGCGUGCCGACGGACCCGCUGUACGUGCCUGCCCUGCAGCACAACGGUCCUUUGGCAAACUGCUUCUCGUACAUUGUAGGCCACGCCUUCACACAAUUUCGGCUACCAAAGGCGACGACGUCGGCGUCUGCGGCGCCACGCUCGGGAUCGAGGCGCAGCUUGUGGACGUCAGCCGCAGCCACAGCGUCGGCUGCUCGCAGCUUCAAGGCGCCGCUAGCAUCGUACGAGCACAGCGCGCACGCGACACUCGCGCAUGUGGUGUUUCUCAACUGCUCCGACGGCUGGGACCGCACCCCGCAGAUCAGCAUCCUUGCGCAGCUGCUGCUAGACCCUUACUAUCGCACAGUGGAAGGUCUCUGCAUCUUGCUGGAGCGCGAAGUGCUCUGCUUUGGACAUCCGACGCAACUACGCUCAACGGCGGUGCGCGGCAACGUCGACGACUACUGGGACCAACUCCUCCGCGACGACCAAGACGCUGCGGUAGCAGCGAAGAGGAUGAGCGCGCAGGUUCCCGCGGCAGCGGCGACGCAAACACACGCGACGUCAGCGACCUCGGAGGGCCAGCGACUCUUCCCGGCGUCGAACACGCGGGCGAUAGAGGCGCGUCAGCGCAAAACCGCUCCGGCGGCCUCUCAGUCGCCGACCGUCCUCGCCGCUCACACACUGGCAGCUGGCGAAAUGGGAAACGCCGUGGAGAGUGAGCCUAGGAGCGAUAGCGAGGGGGGUCGAGCAAGCUGCAACGUCGGGCCGCUGACGGCCGCUGCUGCCGCCGCCAGGGAUGACGAUGAUUACGACGACGUUGAAAGUGACGCUACCUCGGCGCUGCUCUUCGAUGAGGGGCCCGUGGAAGCGCACGAGGCUGCGGCGGCUGACGGGCUGAGAGAACGGGCCUUGCAUCGAUGGCUGCAGAAGGCCCGUGCGGCACUGGGCGGCGGUGGUAGCGCAGGCGACGUCGCAGCGACGGAGGGUGCAAGGCAGAGCCGUGGUGCAUCUGCAGCGACUGCUGAUGCGCCGUCAGUGUGCACGUCGUCGAUGUCCUCAAAGCCUCCCAAAGUGCCGCUGUGGUCUAGUAGCGAGGUGGCACCCAUUCUUACGCAGCUGCUCGACGCCAUACGUCAGCUUGUCGUGCUCUAUCCGGCGUGCUUCGAGUACACACCGCAGUUUGUGUGCCUCCUGCUCGACCUCCUCCACAGCGGGCUGAUCAGCACCUUCAGUGUGAACUGCGAGCAGCAGGUGGAGGCGCAGCGCGUGGCAGAGGGCACGCUGUCGCUGAGUCAGUGGUGUGCUCUCCUGCUGUCCACGACGACGGCGACGCCAUCGGCAUUGUGUGCAGCAACGCCUGUCACGGUCCAGCCGUCACCCCUCAGGAACACACUCGACACGCACUCGGAUGGUGGCGGCGGCGACGCCAACACUGUGCUCCUGCUGAGCAGCGCGUCGAACCCCCGUGCCCCCGCGACGCCGGACUCGCUGCGCCAGCAGCUCCCGAGGUCGACGGCAGCGGCGCUAUCGACGUUCCAUGCGGAUCCAGCCAGCGAGGCGGGUGGCGCUGAGGCAAGCGUGGGUGCUGCCAUCUCGGCCGACGCAUCUUUUCAUCGCCUGGAUUCAGCCUUCCUGAUGGGCGACACAGGUCUGGAGCAGGAGGAGUCAGGGGAGAACGCCGUGGACAGCUGUCGCCGCAGCUGCAGCGACACCUUAGAGAGGAAGGCCUUCGCCGUCCACCCUAGAAGUGGUAGUGGCGAGGGUGCGUCUGGCAGUCUUGCAGCCGGUAAGCAGCCGCGGCAGAGAGCUGCCGCGGCACGGUCCUUGCCCAGUACCCGCACUCCUGCCUUGCCGCCGCUCGCCCAAGAGGGAAAGGCGGUGGAGGAGGAGACGGCGACAACAGGGGGUCGCUCGUAUACACCGCAACUGCAGGCGCCGCCACUGGCGCGUCCUGAUGCGUCUCUCCACCUCUACGACUUCGACUGCACCACACAAUGGGGUGUCCCCGUCGCAUCUGCGGCGCCACCGCUGCCGCGCUCGGGGCACGCCCUUCCCUCGCCCUUCUCAAUAUCCUCCUCCGUCACCUCACCGCGGGCGUACUCCGCACGCCCCCGGGACGAGGCCUCGCUCGCAGGGAGUGGGCGGCAGACACAGCACCCACACCAGCAAGCAGGCUGUAAUGCGAGUGGCGCCACGGCGGCGGAUGAGUUCUCUCGCCGUCUGCUGCCCAUCUCGUACGAGGCUCUCUACACCUCUGGUUACCUCAACCCGAACUUUUCCCUGCGCCACAACAGGGUCAAUGUCGGCCCACUCGUGGACUUCAUCCUUCCAUCCCAGCUUACCCUGUGGCGAGCCGCGUAUACACGUCACUCGUUUUGGGGCGUGCGGCAAGCGCAGCUGCAACACGCCACCGGACAGCAUCAGCAGGAGCAGCACCGGCUGCGUGGGGCGGGCGGUGGCAUCGGACAAGGCGCUUCAAACGCAACAGGCGAGGCGAGAAGUUCCUUCGGCCGACACGGCGGCAGCGGCAGCGCUGUGGGCGUGGGUGGUGCUCACGUCGGGGCAGAGGCACAUGGAAGUGGGCUGUGGAGCGCCGGUGCUUCCUCUACGGGGGCAGCGGCGUCGUCGGGCCCCAUCGCUAGCGCCGUACCGGAAGACGCGCGUUGGCAGCCUCGCAACAGCACCCCGCACGUCCCCUCCUUCGCCAGCGCCUCCGUCACGUCACGCACUGGCGGCGGCAGCAGUGCGGCCUUCUUCAUGGGCGAAGAGGACAGCGAGAGUCGCUCGCAAGGUCGACCGGCGCACUUCACGGACGUGGCCGCCGCCUGCACUGCGACCUCCUCGACACCCGGCAUCUACCAGUUCCAUAUCGACUCCGACAGCGAAGACGAGGAGACGGACGACUGCCACUAGCGCCGGCGACAACGAGCUGGAAUAUGAAGGACAGUGAGGCGAGGCUCGCGGGCCUGCGCGCGCCGGGGUGCGUGCGUGCCUCCUGUCUGUGCUCUUGAAUGCUUUCACGUCUGUUCUUUGUACUUGCUGACCUCCGGUGGUUCAGGAGGCGGUGGCGGAGGGCUGCGCGUGGGCCGCUUCUUCUCCCUUCACGCACCCGCCUGUCGAUGCGGAUCACAGAUGCGCUCAGACAGAGGUAAGAGAACGAGGGGGUAGAGUGCGUUCGGUGACGACAGGCACCUCUGAUGCGCUUGAAUAUGUGGCAUGCAUCGACGGCACGCCUUCGCCGCGACCUCGCCCAUGUCUCAUUCCCGCUCUCUCUAGCCCUCUGCCAGGCUGACAGCUUCCGGUGCAGCGCUCGCACAGCACGCGCCAUAAAGAAGGCACAGAGAGCAGCAUCGGCGGAAGCGAUAACGUGAUGCAUCGCCCGCCCAUCCCUCUUCCCGCUCCGCUCUGUGCAGCCAUAUAUACAUGCAUAUGUACAUGCUUUUGCGUGUCGACUUCACUGUCCCUCAUCAGGGGGGAGGAGGGGGUGGCGCACCCCAGUGCGUGGCAUCCAGCGCACACACACAUACACACAAACUCUGUGCGUGGGAAAGCCAAGCGGUCUCUCCCCUCCCCUCUUCACCCCUGCCAAUGCAGAGCCACUUCCGGUGGUGACAGGGCUAGGCCCCCUACGGCGUAGGAGGAGGGGGGGAAGGGCAGCGCGAUGUAUCGCCACUGGUCUCGGCGGCCAGGCCGUGGAUGGCGGGGCGUCGGAGCGGCCUGUGACCGUGCACACGCUUGUGCCACCCCAUGUGAUGGGCGAAGCGUAAACGCGACUCAAGCGUGUGCCCCACCCCCGGCCCUCACGCAUCGCCUGCUGGUUGUGGGUAGAGUGUGAGGCGGAGGGGCCGUGCUCUCAGAUGACGGAGUCGGGGCAUUGUGCCGUGACACCUGCGCGUCUGCGGCUGCUUCGCACCACGCGGAUGGGCUGCCUGUGACACAGGGCCGCGCAGGGGCUGUCGCGUGGCGCAUGGCCGCAUGCGGUGCGGAGCAGGGCCAUGGGGCUCACGCUGCGAAGCAAAUGUCCGUGUUGACCGUCUCUCAUCUCUCGCUCCUCCAUCGCCUCCCUCUCGCCGAUUUCCUCUCACUCCUCACACUCAG